rnacentral:rRNA from 1 species
AGGACGAACGCUGGCGGCGUGCUUAACACAUGCAAGUCGAGCGGUAAGGCCUUUCGGGGUACACGAGCGGCGAACGGGUGAGUAACACGUGGGUGAUCUGCCCUGCACUUCGGGAUAAGCCUGGGAAACUGGGUCUAAUACCGGAUAUGACUUCAGGUUGCAUGACUUGGGGUGGAAAGAUUUAUCGGUGCAGGAUGGGCCCGCGGCCUAUCAGCUUGUUGGUGGGGUAAUGGCCUACCAAGGCGACGACGGGUA